AUUGAACGCUGGCGGCAGGCCUAACACAUGCAAGUCGAGCGAGCGGCGGACGGGUGAGUAAUGUAUGGGGACUGCCCGAUAGAGGGGGAUAACUACUGGAAACGGUGGCUAAUACCGCAUACUAUCGGAUAACCCAUAUGGGAUUAGCUAGUAGUUGGGGUAAAGGCUCACCUAGGCGACGAUCUCUAGCGGGUCUGAGAGGAUGAUCAGCCAAACGGGGAUUGGGACACGGCCCAUACUCCUACGGAGGCAGAAGUGGGGAAUAUUGCAAAAUGGGAGCAAGCCUGAUGUAGCCAUGCCGCGUGUAUGAAGAAGGUCUUAGGGUUGUAAAGUACUUUCAGCGUGGAGGCGUUACCCGCAGAAGAAGCACCGGCUAACUCCGUGCCAGCAGCCGCGGUAAUUC
rnacentral:rRNA from 1 species